AUUGAACGCUGGCGGCAUGCUUUACACAUGCAAGUCGAACGGUAACAGGCCUUCGGGUGCUGACGAGUGGCGAACGGGUGAGUAAUGCAUCGGAACGUACCCAGAGGUGGGGGAUAACGCAGCGAAAGCUGUGCUAAUACCGCAUGUGAUCUGAGGAUGAAAGCGGGGGACCGAGCAGCAAUGUUUGGCCUCGCGCCUUUGGAGCGGCCGAUGUCGGAUUAGCUAGUUGGUGGGGUAAAGGCCUACCAAGGCGACGAUCCGUAGCUGGUCUGAGAGGACGACCAGCCACACUGGGACUGAGACACGGCCCAGACUCCUACGGGAGGCAGCAGUGGGGAAUUUUGGACAAUGGGCGCAAGCCUGAUCCAGCAAUGCCGCGUGCGGGAAGAAGGCCUUCGGGUUGUAAACCGCUUUUGGCAGGAACGAAACGGUGUCCGCUAAUACCGGGCGCUAAUGACGGUACCGGCAGAAUAAGCACCGGCUAACUACGUG
rnacentral:rRNA from 1 species